rnacentral:rRNA from 1 species
CUACGGGCCGCUGCAGUGAGGAAUAUUGCACAAUGGGGGGAACCCUGAUGCAGCAACGCCGCGUGGAGGAUGACGCAUUUCGGUGUGUAAACUCCUUUUAUAUGUCAAGAAAAUGACGGUAGCAUAUGAAUAAGCACCGGCUAACUCCGUGCCAGCAGCCGCGGUAAUACGGAGGGUGCAAGCGUUACUCGGAAUCACUGGGCGUAAAGGACGCGUAGGCGGGUUGGAAAGUCAGGUGUGAAAUCCUACAGCUUAACUGUAGAACUGCACUUGAAACUUCUAAUCUAGAGUAUGGGAGGGGGAGAUGGAAUUAGUGGUGUAGGGGUAAGAUCCGUAGAUAUCACUAGGAAUACCUAAAGCGAAGGCGAUCUCCUGGAACAUUACUGACGCUAAGGCGUGAAAGCGUGGGGAUCAAACAGGAUUAGAUACCCCCGUAGUC